GAAGGAAGGGAUGGUGUACUCGGCAGAUGCAGACGUGCAUGGGAGGCCUCGCCAGCCACAAGGGACUUUUGUAUCAUGAGGUCGACAAUGGUAACCUCUGUUGGAAACAGGAUUUGCCUUCUACCUGUUCUCCAGGAUACAAUGCUUUGCUGUUCGCUCCUCUCCUGUCAGACUUAAAGGCCUAUCGAAUCCUCAGAUGAAGUGUUUCCGAGGACAAAGUGGGCCUGAAGUGGGGGAAGCUAAUCCCAUUUCCAGAGCCUGCUUCUCAAUGAGCCCCCCAAAAUAUGUAUGAAUUUACUAAUAUAACGCCACCCCCUA
rnacentral:lncRNA from 1 species